rnacentral:tRNA from 1 species
GCCCCCGUAGUUCAACGGACAGAACUUCUCACUCCUAACGAGAGGAUAUAGGUUCAAUUCCUGUCGGGGGCA